UGAACGCUGGCGGCGUGCUUAACACAUGCAAGUCGAACGAAGCACUUCAGAUUGAUUCUUCGGAUGACGUCUUUUGUGACUUAGUGGCGGACGGGUGAGUAACGCGUGGGUAACCUGCCUCACACAGGGGGAUAACAGUUAGAAAUGACUGCUAAUACCGCAUAACCCGAUAGGAUCGCAUGAUCCAGACGGAAAAGAUUUAUCGGUGUGAGAUGGACCCGCGUCUGAUUAGCUAGUUGGUGAGGUAACGGCCCACCAAGGCGACGAUCAGUAGCCGGCCUGAGAGGGUGAACGGCCACAUUGGGACUGAGACACGGCCCAAACUCCUACGGGAGGCAGCAGUGGGGAAUAUUGCACAAUGGGGGAAACCCUGAUGCAGCGACGCCGCGUGAGUGAAGAAGUAUUUCGGUAUGUAAAGCUCUAUCAGCAGGGAAGAAAAUGACGGUACCUGACUAAGAAGCCCCGGCUAACUACGUG
rnacentral:rRNA from 1 species